rnacentral:rRNA from 1 species
AUGUUCCACAUGACCAAGCUGGAUUUCCAGUUCGUCCACAUGUAUGCGCCUUAUCUCAACUACUUCAUUAGGAUCGAGAACAUACAAUAUAUCUGCAUCGCGGACCCAUACUAUAUGCACGAGAGCCUCUUGGCAGUCUGCAAAGAGCACCGUGACUAUGCGAGCAAGUACAUCAGCAACUUCAUGAUCGCUACUAAGGACAAGGAGGCGAUUCUCCUGCCUUAUCAUCCCACGUACAUAGACCAGAGAUGGCGAAGGAAUACUACGCCGUGUUUGUUGGGAGGGUUGCAGGAGUCUACGACCACUGGCCAGAUGCUCAGUCCAAGGUGGACAAGUACCCGGGUGCUAGCCACAGAGGGUUUCACAGCAGAGACGAAGCAAAAAUUAGUUACUUGA